rnacentral:rRNA from 1 species
GAUGAACGCUGGUGGCGUGCCUAAUACAUGCAAGUCGAGCGAACAGACGAGGCACUUGCUCCUCUGACGUUAGCGGCGGACGGGAGAGUACCACGUGGAUACCCUACCUAUAAGACUGGGAUAACUUCGGGAAACCGGAGCUAAUACCGGAUAAUAUAUUGAACCGCAUGGCUCAAUAGUGAAAGCCGGUUUUGCUGUCACUUAUAGAUGGAUCCGCGCCGGAUUAGCUAGUUGGUAAGGUAACGGCUUACCAAGGCAACGAUGUGUAGCCGACCUGAGAGGAUGAUCGGCCACACUGGAACUGAGACACGGUCCAGACUCCUACGGGAGGCAGCAGUGGGGAAUUUUCCGCAAUGGGCGAAAGCUUGACGGAGCAACGCCGCGUGAGGGAUGAAGGUCUUCGGAUCGUAAAACUCUGUUAUAAGGGAAGAACAAGUGUGGAAGUAACUAUGCACGUCUUGACGGUACCUAAUCAGAAAGCCACGGCUAACUACGUG